GAUGAACGCUGGCGGCGUGCCUAAUACAUGCAAGUCGAGCGAACAGACGAGGCGCUUGCUCCUCUGACGUUAGCGGCGGACGGGUGAGUCACACGUGGAUAACCUACCUAUAAGACUGGGAUAACUUCGGGAAACCGGAGCUAAUACCGGAUAAUAUAUUGAACCGCAUGGUUCAAUAGUGAAAGACGGUUUUGCUGUCACUUAUAGAUGGAUCCGCGCCGCAUUAGCUAGUUGGUAAGGUAACGGCUUACCAAGGCAACGAUGCGUAGCCGACCUGAGAGGGUGAUCGGCCACACUGGAACUGAGACACGGUCCAGACUCCUACGGGAGGCAGCAGUAGGGAAUCUUCCGCAAUGGGCGAAAGCCUGACGGAGCAACGCCGCGUGAGUGAUGAAGGUCUUCGGAUCGUAAAACUCUGUUAUUAGGGAAGAACAAAUGUGUAAGUAACUAUGCACGUCUUGACGGUACCUAAUCAGAAAGCCACGGCUAACUACGUG
rnacentral:rRNA from 1 species